ACACACCGCCCGUCACACCAUGGGAGUGGGUUGCAAAAGAAGUAGGUAGCUUAACCUUCGGGAGGGCGCUUACCACUUUGUGAUUCAUGACUGGGGUGAAGUCGUAACAAGGUAACCGUAGGGGAACCUGCGGUUGGAUCACCUCCUUACCUAAGAGA
rnacentral:rRNA from 1 species